rnacentral:lncRNA from 1 species
CGGGGACUCACCUGGGAACUCUCCUUCCUUGCAUCAGAACAGCUGGUGGACUUCAUAUAAUUUGGCGACCCAUCAGGUGGCCUGAUCACAGAUUGCUUUGCUGCAGCUGGUUGGGCACUGAGAGGAGGCGGCUUGCCAGGCUGCAGAGGUGAUGAUCUUAAGCUCUCAAUAUCUGAAAGCUUGAUUGAUCUUGAUUUCUUCAUUUUCUUCUUCAUGUCAGCAGCCCUGUUUCUGCCAUCCUGGUGCUGGGAAAACCCCGGUUUGAGGUUCCCCAAACGCUUCUCGGUCUUACUAACAUGAUCAGCUUGGAUUCCAAGCUUGUUGCCUACCUUUCUUUGGACCAUCUUCAGAGAAAAACCACAGGCAUCUACA